rnacentral:rRNA from 1 species
UACCAGCACCCCGAGUGGUCGGGACGUUUUAUUGGGCCUAAAGCAUCCGUAGCCGGUUCUACAAGUCUUCCGUUAAAUCCACCUGCUUAACAGAUGGGCUGCGGAAGAUACUAUAGAGCUAGGAGGCGGGAGAGGCAAGCGGUACUCGAUGGGUAGGGGUAAAAUCCGUUGAUCCAUUGAAGACCACCAGUGGCGAAGGCGGCUUGCCAGAACGCGCUCGACGGUGAGGGAUGAAAGCUGGGGGGAGCAAACCGG